rnacentral:rRNA from 1 species
GACGAACGCUGGCGGCGCGCCUAACACAUGCAAGUCGAACGAGCGAGAGGAGGUUUACUUUCUCAAGCGAGUGGCGAACGGGUGAGUAACGCGUGAGGAACCUGCCUCAAAGAGGGGGACAACAGUUGGAAACGACUGCUAAUACCGCAUAAGCCCACGACCCGGCAUCGGGUAGAGGGAAAAGGAGCAAUCCGCUUUGAGAUGGCCUCGCGUCCGAUUAGCUAGUUGGUGAGGUAAUGGCCCACCAAGGCGACGAUCGGUAGCCGGACUGAGAGGUUGAACGGCCACAUUGGGACUGAGACACGGCCCAGACUCCUACGGGAGGCAGCAGUGGGGAAUAUUGCACAAUGGGGGAAACCCUGAUGCAGCGACGCCGCGUGGAGGAAGAAGGUCUUCGGAUUGUAAACUCCUGUUGUUGAGGAAGAUAAUGACGGUACUCAACAAGGAAGUGACGGCUAACUACG